UUUUUUUCAGGUUCACACUGCCCCGCCUCCUUGCUCUCAAGCCCUGCGAAUAGGGGUGUAUGCAAAUGACGAUGACAGAAAAAAACCCGAUGUCGCUCCGGAAAUUCCAGAAAGUUGCCGAGUGACGGCACUGGUGGACAACAGUGACCAACGGCGCGAUCAAAUGCCAUUAUGUCUGACUUGGCCUGCGAUUUUCCAGUGAUGGUUGUUCAGAUUCCAGAGCCCACACAUUGAAUCCUGACUACGUCCGAGUCGCCCAGCAACCAAAAUGAGCUUCCACCGAUGGUUAACAGCGUGCCUCUGAGUAGAGAGAAAGACAGAGGUAGAAACUGGGGGCACAGGAAGAGAUGGAGAAAGAGCAGGGGCAGAAACUUUACAAAUGUCUUUUAUUUUGUAGUGUAACAUAUGUUCUUAAUGCCUCUGCACAUCCUUUUGUUUGUUUCAAGCCAUUUCAUCCCAUUAAUCUUGCUUGUGUGUAUUUAUUUAUUUAUUAAAGUUCAGUAAUGCUUUA